rnacentral:rRNA from 1 species
AAACUCAAAUGAAUUGACGGGGGCCCGCACAAGCGGUGGAGCAUGUGGUUUAAUUCGAUGCAACGCGAAGAACCUUACCUGGUCUUGACAUCCACGGAAGUUUUCAGAGAUGAGAAUGUGCCUUCGGGAACCGUGAGACAGGUGCUGCAU